UGAGCAACCUGCCCUUGACCCUGGAAUAACAGCUGGAAACAGCUGCUAAUACCGGAUACGACCUCCGAUGGCAUCAUCUGGAGGUGGAAAGCUCCGACGGUCAAGGAUGGGCUCGCGGCCUAUCAGCUUGUUGGUGAGGUAACGGCUUACCAAGGCUUCGACGGGUAGCCGGCCUGAGAGGGCGACCGGCCACACUGGGACUGAGACACGGCCCAAACUCCUACGGGA
rnacentral:rRNA from 1 species